ensembl:lncRNA
UUUAGCUAUAAUCGAGGUGGCUGCAAAUACAAAGCUCACAGCAGAUAAGAAGUUGUAUCUAAAACCUGAUUAAAGAAUGUUCUUUAUGAAAAUUUUUGACAGAUGAACAAAGAGGAGAGUUCCUCCAGCCCUCUGCAUAUCCUGAUGGUUCUCCUCUUCCUCAAGGUCCAUGUCCUUUUUAUGAUGUGGGUCACAAGGUUGAAAGCCUUAUGCCAGGCAGUGAGGCACAUACAUCAGUGGAAUGGGCAUGAAAAUCUCAAAGGUAAAAGUGAGAAAACUCAUGGGUUGAGAUAAAGACAGUUUAACAGGGAUGUGGAACAGAUGCGGGCACAGAAUUGUGGUAGAGAGGGAACAGAAAGAAAACUAUUUUGCUGAUAUACUUGGUAUUACAUAGAUAAUGCAUGGGUUUAUUUUUAUUAAAUAAAUAAAAUUAUGUUGUGUUUAAA